CCCUAGCCCUGAUAGAAGUGAAAAUCCUUUUUAUUUUUUCUUUAAAAAUAAAAAGAUUGAAACGCAUAGCAGGAUUAGCU
rnacentral:sRNA from 1 species